rnacentral:lncRNA from 1 species
CCGAACAUGGUCUAUUUCUAGCUUAUUACCCUGGUCUAUUAAUACUGGAUGGUUAGAGCAAAUAGUUGAGAGGAUCGAAGACUUUGAAUUUUGAACUGGACAAUCAUGGAGGUAGCGGAAUUAUUCCUCGCUUCUAAGAUCAGAGAAACUUUUAUAAAUGUGGUUGCCAACCUCCUUUGAUUGGGACGACAUAGGAAGAUAUUGUAACUGUACACACUGUACCUACGUUUGUAUUGUAACUAUUUUUAUGACCAUGUUGUCGAAACAUAUAAGCCUAAAUGAAAAAACUCUUUCACUAUGUGACAACUACAAUUCAUGAAUCGGUUUUUGGUAAACUUGUGGGUACUGUAGUACUAUAUAAGUCCGGCUUGCUACAGUUUAUACUCAAAAUAAUAGCAAUAACUUUUUAUCUAUCUAACACAUAUCAGUUAUAAGUGCAAACAAUGACAAAUAAUGCUUGGAGUGCUGUUUUAAUAAAAUAAUUUUUAGACAAACCUUAAUAUUAAGUUGGAAAUUUACAAUCACCUAAAAAUUUAUUGAAAUGUUAUAAUAAAUUAUACUUCUAUUGUU